rnacentral:rRNA from 1 species
GAGUUUGAUUAUGGCUCAGAUUGAACGCUGGCGGCAUGCCUUACACAUGCAAGUCGAACGGCAGCACGGACUUCGGUCUGGUGGCGAGUGGCGAACGGGUGAGUAAUACAUCGGAACGUGCCCAGUAGUGGGGGAUAACACAUCGAAAGAUGUGCUAAUACCGCAUGAGACCUGAGGGUGAAAGCGGGGGAUCUUCGGACCUCGCGCUAUUGGAGCGGCUGAUGGCAGAUUAGGUAGUUGGUGGGGUAAAGGCUUACCAAGCCUGCGAUCUGUAGCUGGUCUGAGAGGACGAUCAGCCACACUGGGACUGAGACACGGCCCAGACUCCUACGGGAGGCAGCAGUGGGGAAUUUUGGACAAUGGGCGCAAGCCUGAUCCAGCAAUGCCGCGUGCAGGACGAAGGCCUUCGGGUUGUAAACUGCUUUUGUACAGAGCGAAAAGCCUCUUUCUAAUACAAAGGGGGUCAUGACGGUACUUAAGAAUAAAGCCCC